CACAAAUGUCAUCUUACAGAAUAAAUCACGAAUAAGUUUACAACAGAUCAACUAAAUUCCCACCUGAUCAAUCGUACGUCAUGACGCAGGAAACGCUCAGGAUAUCCGGAAGUUUCCGCCUCCCCGAGAAGCAGCCUUGCAGACCUGUGAUCUGGAUAUAGAGCAGGUAGCUCACCUCUCUGUUAAUUGAGUUCACAGCUGGUAGCUUUGCCUCAGCAGACUUCUCACCCAGAAGGGUACAAAGGACAUCCUCUUCCCCGGCAGGUCUCCUCAUUUCAGUCUACCCGUUCAUAAGAGCAUGGUUCAACUUCCAUCACAUACUGCCCAAUAUAGGCAACUUCAGAGUGCACCCCAUGGCUACAAAUUCAAAUCCAGCCGCU
rnacentral:lncRNA from 1 species